rnacentral:rRNA from 1 species
UACAGAGGGUGCAAGCGUUAAUCGGAAUUACUGGGCGUAAAGGGUGCGUAGGUGGUUUAUUAAGUUAAGUGUGAAAUCCCCGGGCUUAACCUGGGAAUGGCGCUUAAUACUGAUAGGCUGGAGUACUGUAGAGGAAGGUGGAAUUUCCGGUGUAGCGGUGAAAUGCGUAGAUAUCGGAAGGAACAUCAGUGGCGAAGGCGACUUUCUGGACAGAUACUGACACUGAGGCACGAAAGCAUGGGGAGCAAACAGG